rnacentral:tRNA from 1 species
GGGCUGGUAGUUCAGCUGGGAGAACGCGUCGUUCGCAACGACGAGGUCGCGGGUUCAAAUCCCGCCCAGUCCA